rnacentral:rRNA from 1 species
UACGUAGGUGGCAAGCGUUAUCCGGAAUUAUUGGGCGUAAAGCGCGCGCAGGCGGUUUCUUAAGUCUGAUGUGAAAGCCCACGGCUCAACCGUGGAGGGUCAUUGGAAACUGGGGAACUUGAGUGCAGAAGAGAAAAGCGGAAUUCCACGUGUAGCGGUGAAAUGCGUAGAGAUGUGGAGGAACACCAGUGGCGAAGGCGGCUUGUUGGUCUGUAACUGACGCUGAGGCGCGAAAGCGUGGGGAGCAAACAGG